rnacentral:rRNA from 1 species
GAUGAACGCUGGCGGCGUGCCUAAUACAUGCAAGUCGAGCGAAUGGAUUAAGAGCUUGCUCUUAUGAAGUUAGCGGCGGACGGGUGAGUAACACGUGGGUAACCUGCCCAUAAGACUGGGAUAACUCCGGGAAACCGGGGCUAAUACCGGAUAACAUUUUGAACCGCAUGGAUCGAAAUUGAAAGGCGGCUUCGGCUGUCACUUAUGGAUGGAACCGCGUCGGAUUAGCUAGUUGGUGAGGUAACGGCUGACCAAGGCAACGAUGCGUAGCCGACCUGAGAGGGUGAUCGGCCACACUGGGACUGAGAAACGGCCCAGACUCCUACGGGAGGCAGCAGUAGGGAAUCUUCCGCAAUGGACGAAAGUCUGACGGAGCAACGCCGCGUGAGUGAUGAAGGCUUUCGGGUCGUAAAACUCUGUUGUUAGGGAAGAACAAGUGCUAGUUGAAUAAGCUGGCACCUUGACGGUACCUAACCAGAAAGCCACGGCUAACUACGUGCCAGCAGCCGCCGUAA